GUUUUUUUUUUUCAGAGAGAAUAAUGACGUGGGUUUGAUUUUGAUAAUUGCAAUGGAAAACUGUGAUUUUUCAUUUGAUGCUGAUCAUAUGUGAUCAGAUUUUUAAAUGACCUCAUAAUGUUUCCAAGAACUGUAAAAGUGCAAGCAUCCUAGUGAGGGUAGAUCUGUGCAUUGAGAAGGUGACACAGAAGGAUUUUCAGCAGUGUGCUGUUGCUGUUGUGAAAGUAAGAGGAUGCAAGCAUCCUAGUGAGCUAAGAGAGGGCAGAUCUGUGGUGACGAGGAAGGUUCAUUUAGCAGCGUCGUGUUGUUGCUGUUGUCAAGGCAGGAGGAUGGGGCAAGCUUGCUGUUGCCCCCCUCCAACGCAGCCCCCUGGCGGUCCUCUGCCUGCUUUUGACCCCAUCAGAGGCAAGGGAGACUGUGCGGGAUUUGUCCAGUUGUCGGGAGGCGUUGCGGGAUCCAACAACGGCCCGAGUGGUGUCAACCCUCGGUAUCAUCCUGACCCCUCAGGGGCAGCCAUGGGAGGAAAUAUUACCCCAAUGGGGACGUGCCCCCCUAUGGGUGUGGUGAUGGCAGGAGGGGUACGCAGACCCCCAUACACUUCUCAGCAACAUGGGGUCGACGUGAUUCGCUCCAAUUCGGGACAAGACUUAGCGGCCUAUCGCAGCUAUUUAAGUUCUCUAACUUUAAGACGACCCAGCUGUUGUCGAGGCUUGCCGGCCCCUGGCUGGACCAAUGCUAGCGCUGCGCACCAUCACCAGCAGACGCACGCCAGGAUGCGUAAAGAUCAAGCUCGGAGCUCGCAACGCUGGGGACCUGCAAACAACUGCAGCAGUGCAGGUGACGGCUGCCUGCUAGGGGGCGGGACUCAAUACCGUGUCGGGGGCGGAGCAGCACCGGGGGGCGGCGUGCCGCAGUUGGUGGUUGCCAUGUACACAUUCCAGGGCAGGAGCGCCGGGGAGCUCAGCUUUAUCAAGGGCGAUCGUCUCGAGGUUCUCAGUGAAACUGACAACGAUUGGUGGUUGGCUCGCAACCUCACAAACAACGCUGAGGGCUACAUUCCUAAGAACCACGUGGCUCUAGCAACUUCCCUUGAGUGCCAAGACUGGUACUUCGGCCGGAUAGCGCGUAAAGAAGCUGAGAAAUUAUUGAUGGAUUCUUGCAAUCAGAGGGGAACUUUCCUCAUUAGACUGAGCGAGCAAGCCAGCCACGGUUACUCCUUGAGCAUUAGGGAUUGGGAUCAGCAGAAAGGCGAGCACGUGAAGCACUACCGUAUCAAGCAGACCGAUGGCGGCGGCUUCUUCAUCACCUCCGCUCAAACAUUCAGAUCUCUCAACGAACUAGUCGAUGCUUACAGCCGCAACAACUACGGCCUGGCGUGUUUACUGCAGCACCCGUGCGCCCGACCACGACCUCAGCAGUGGGACCUGAGCAGAGAGACCAAAGAUCAGUGGGAGAUCGAACGCAACUCGCUAACAUUCCUCAAAAAACUUGGCCAAGGAACGUUUGGUGAAGUUUGGUAUGGUACCUGGAACAACAGGAUAGAAGUGGCCAUCAAGACCCUCAAAGAAGGCAAUAUGAGGUCUUCGGCGUUCCUUGAAGAAGCAGCUAUCAUGAAAGGCUUGCGGCACAGAAAUAUUCUUGUUCUAUACGCCGUUUGCUCGAAAGAAGAACCUGUUCUUAUAGUUACCGAAUAUAUGAAGAAGGGUGCCCUCUUAGAGCUACUCAGGAGUGAUGAGGGAAAGACUCUUAAACUCAACGAUAUGAUCUACAUCGCCUCUCAGGUGGCGUCAGGCAUGGCAUACUUGGAGAGCAAGCAGCUCAUCCAUCGCGACCUGGCCGCCCGCAACGUCCUGGUUGGUGAAUCUUUGCUCUGCAAGGUCGCUGACUUUGGCCUCGCCAGGAUCAUUGAUGGCGAAGAUUACUGCCCAAGUACAACAGAUAGUAAGUUCCCUGUGAAGUGGACAGCCCCAGAAGCUAUGCUCUUCAAUCGGUUCACCAUCAAGAGUGACGUCUGGAGCUUUGGUGUUCUGCUAAUGGAAAUCAUUACUUACGGAGCAAACACUUAUCCUGGUAUGAACAACCGCGAGGUAAUCGACCGUGUACAAAACGGCUAUAGGAUGCCAAAGCCUCCUCGCUGUCCCGACGAGCUCUACAAGAUGAUGCUCAGCUGCUGGGACAAGGACCCGGACCAUCGGCCUACCUUUGACUACCUCCACCAUUACUUUGACGACUAUCAGGUGUCUUCUGAGAUACCUUAUAGGGAUGUCCCUCACGACUAGAGACCUUCUCCUCUUCCCUUUUGACCCUUUACAUCUUUUUGAGCAGCUUUUGAUCCUCUAUAACUAUUAUCUUUUUUUUAUCAUAAAAUUUCACUCGCUCAUGCUCCUCACUGCCUUAUUAUAUUUAUUUCAGGUUAUCAUUUCCUCAAUUAUAUUUUCAGCUGCAAUUAUACUUCUCUUGUCUCUUCCAAGUUCAUCCGAUAGAAUUUUUUUUAAUGAUUUAUAUCAGAGGCACAUUAAUUUCUUUCACAUAUUCUUCGUCUUGUGUUUUUCAUAUUCUAAUUUUUAGCUCAUAUAUCGUAGACUCAUGUUACAAUGUUGCCCAGACUUAUCAGUCAUGCCCUAACCAGUUGGUGUGCUUUGCCGUCUUCAUCAGCUAAAUUAUCUUGAUAGCAAUUCAUGCAUCAGUCAAUCUAAUCAAAACUUAAAUUUUCAUUCAUAUGUUCAUUUCAUUUGAAAUGGAGCCCGUAUUUUAUAGCCUGUCAUAAAAAAAGAAUUGAAGUUCUUCAAUUGCAACUAUCCAUUCUUAGAACUUUCCUUGAAUUUAAGCUUUUUUGGCGUUGAACCUGGUUUUCUUUUUUAUAUCUUCACUGACCGCUGUGACCCUUUUUGUAGUUUUUUCUUUUGUUUGACGUUAUCUUGUUGCAUGUGAUGAGCUCCUGAUGAACUGCUAUGGAGUAACUUCGAGGUGUGGUGUUCACUUUCAUUCGUCCUUAAUAAAAACGCUUCCGUUGAGCAUUUUAUCUGCCGUACUUUAUAUUUCUUGGUAUCGGUUUGAUUUAGAUUGAUAAUUUAUGUGUCAGCCCAAGGUAAAUUAUUAUCCGUGUUUUAUUCUGCAUUGCAUUUAAAACAUCGGAGUUAUUUUCUGCGCUUACUUUCACUCUUACUUCCAGCUAGUUUUUGGAUAAUUCGUUCGUAUCUGGCUGAUGGAUAAGUUUUUAUUUGCAGUUGUUAUGGCAUUUUAGACUUCGGCUUUAGAGCGUUUCAUUUUUUGCAUCCGUUAGUGUGUUCCUCUGUGAUGUUGACAAUCGAGAACUAUAACGAUGUCGUACCCGUCUUUUGGUUGAUUUCUGUUAUUACUUUCAACAUUCUUUCUUUGGUGCAUUUAUGUGUCUUUAGCGGCUUCUUUGUAUUUCCUGCUUUGAUGAAUAUUUGUUCUCUUAUUCUCAUACAGUAACUGCGUGUGCAGCGGAAAAGUUGUCAGGAAUUUCCAGUAAUUUUAGUGGCUUUGACUUAGAUUUUGUUUUGAUUUGAAGUUGCUUAAGCUUCGAUUGGUGUGUUCGUUAACUGUUACUUGUAGAGAAGAGAAGAACUUGCUGUGUUAGCUCACGACGUGCCGGGAGAGGGUGCGUGUGAUUCCCUCGCCCAAUCCUGGAACCUCAAUCCUUACCCGGCCUCAUUCAUAUCAUGAUUUUUUCUUGCCAUCGUAUCAUGGUCAUGAGUCAUCUUUUCUUGCUUAUGCCUUGAUCUUGAAAUAAUGCUUGGCUCGGUGCUGGAAACUUCGAAUCAUGCUGGCUCAUUGAGUCUGCUCACGUAUUUGCUGAUGGAGUCUUUUUUCAGUUCUUCAACAGCGUUAGAAGUGGCAGUAAUAUUGGAGUUCUAAAAUAUAAUAAAUUCUUUCUCGUAACGCUGUUAUUUUAUUUGGUAGCCAUAUGUUAUUGUCAUUUGCGUCGGUAUUAAAUUAUAAUGUGAAGAUGCAAUUAGUCGUGCUGGUGCUGAUCUUAUUCUUCCUGGCUUCGAAUCUCCGCGCCUAGACUCUGUUCGUCAUGUAUCAAAGUAGCAUUGGAAUAUAAAUGCUAAUCUUUCCCUGUAUCUAAAUUUGGUGUGUUCAUUGAUUGGAAAUACCGUACAUCUCACCAUGAUUUCCAACGAGAAUAUUAUCAAAGGUGCCUGUGGUUCUUCUUUCCUUCGGAAAUGUGUCUCAAAUCCAUGCUAGAAGUACCUAUGUACUGAUUGUUUUUUAGCAAUGAUCGUGUUCAUAGUGGAUUGUUCUUGGUUUACUUUUGACUCAUCUUUUAUGUUUUAGUUGGUUUUAAAUGAGUUGCUAUCUCAUUGUGUCCUCGAUUCAACUUCAUUUAACAUGUGGUAGAUUUUAUAUUUUCAGUCAGAUUCUACUCAAAUGAUUCAUUCGUCCCCUCUUGUUCCUUUGCUGCUCGCUUUCAUAGUGAAUGCAUUCUGGCUUUUCUUACCUUCAUUAACUCUUCCAUACUAUCCCUCGUGACGUGUACUUGCCCACUUCUCCUGUAAUCCUACCCGCAUCACUCUGCGUCCUGAUCAGAUAUCCUCGGGAUACCUAGUAUCCUACACUAUCCUUGAAAUAAUCCUGAUCCUUGCCUUUUUUCCGAAAGAAUAACCUUCCCCCCCCCCCCGCACAUACACACACACACCCCCUCUCCUCGAGCGCAUCGCAUUGCCAGAGGAAAUGUAACCACGACCAACGACAUGAGAUCUUCCUGCUGUGCUUGGCUGCUAUCUUCAAAAUGUCGAUGUGCUACCAUGACUGCCGCACUAUAUUAACCACAAUUUGCGUUAAGUACAUCAUAAAUUUCAGGGAUUAUCAAUUAUCUAUUAAUUAUCAAUGGUUGAAUUCGUAGACAGUAUUAACGGUACUGCAGCGCGUGUGGCGAGUUUGGAGUCUUAUUUUUUCUUCUGUGACAAAUGAGUACGUGAACGAUGCGUCAGAUUCAUGUAUGAACUCUCGUGUACAUUUUAAUAUUGAUGUAAGUGUAAAUAGUAUAUAUGUGUAAAAAUAUUUUGUAAUUAACCAAUACUCAUGGCUGCUACGGAAGAAUGACUGCUCGUUCACUCGAUUGUUGCAGCUGUCGUGUUUAGCUUAUUGCGUUCUGAACAAUUCCUGGAAGCAUUUUUACCUCAUGCUGCAUCUGACACGAAAUCCCGUGUAUUUGGAUUCAUUUUUGGCUAUGGGUACGUAUUAAGUUUAAUUUUUUCUUGAAUUCUUCUUACUUGCAUUAAGAUCAUAAUUAAAUUUUUAUAACAGCCAAGUUUACAUUCAAAGAUGACGCCGUGAUAGUAUUUUAUACAUGUAUGCUUGCAUGUUUUUGCAAACAAAACCUUAGCAAAUUAAGUUACUUCAGGUACUGUUCACCUUACAUUUCCUAAGUGUUCUGUUAAAUUCUAUCCGUUUCAAAUCUGUUGAAUUAAUCAGCUCCAAUUGCCUGAAAAUCAUUUCGAAGGUGCAGCUAUACUCGUGUACGUUAGUAUUUGUUAAUAAUGUGUCACUUGUGUUCAUAUUAGCUCACGUACUGUUAAGCUAGCUAUUAUUUGAAGCGUUUCCUGUACUAUGCCAAAGUGGAACUUGGUUUUUUGCGUGUGCGGUAAGUUCACCCAUUAACACAUUCUCCUGCGACGUAGGUUUGAAUUUUUAACCAUGUAUUGUAUUAUUGUACGUCGGGGAAUUCUGUUACUUGUCCAGCAACUUUCACAACCAGGUUUGCAGUAAUGGGAGUACUAUCCACUGCUAGCUAAUUAUAUUUCCAAAAAUAAGCCACACGGAAUUCAUUAAAACUAUUAUUUUAAACGAUAACCGUGGAACUUGUUCUUUCAAUAUGUGUACUACAUGCAUCAUGAAUUACGGCUAAUUAAAGCUAACUAUCCAAUUAGUCCGAACAACGGGAUCGACUCCUCUUUCCGCUGCCUCUAACCGCUCUUGCCAUCAUUUCAUAUUCUUCACCUCCCGUCGUCAUGAUUUAAUUGCAGAAUAACUAAUUGAUAUAAAAUUGUUUGUCGCUACAUACAUUCUUGUUGAAUUUGCCGGCGAGAAAUAACUUCAAAUUAUUAGAGGUUUGUUUAUUAUGUUCACAAUUUGCAGAUGCAACGGACAGAUAAGAACACAAUACACCAAAUACUUGUUAGUCUCGUUCAACAGUUGCGGUUGCAAGUUUUUGAAGCAUAGGAAUUAAGUACUCGCGAGACUGGUAUGAAAGUAAUCAUAAUAGUGCGUCAGCAUAUGCGUAUUACUUCCACUAUCGCAUAUAGCCCAAAUACUUGAUGCUACAACAAAUGUCUUGAAGGGAACCGUUAAUAUACUGUAAUAUAUUGUAAGCUAUUAAUGAGGGGACUGGUUGUUACCGGGCUCUCCCAAAUCUCCGCUGAGAGUUUUUUUUUCUAAUAUAUUGCCUAAGAUUCAAUAAUAAAAGUUGUCCCGAAAUUUACUUC